UUUGUUUUAAAAAUGCGUUGUCAACGGCGUACGUAACAGGGUAAGAAGGAUGUAGCGCCAGCAGGUCUGCGGCUCCUUAUGCCGCCCGUGAACCCUACAGACUCACCCGUGAGAAGAAGCGCAGAUCAAAUGCGGCAUGUGUCAAGGUGUGUGUGUCUGUUCGUCCCCACCCCCAAACUGCUCUGCCAGUGUACUACGAGGGGAACAUGCAAGAAAUGGAUAAUUUAUUGCGAGCAACUAGGAGAAAGAGCCCACACACCCUGAGCCGGCCCUGCAUCCUCAGACAUCGCCACUGUCGCCAGUUCUCUUUACACUCUUCAGUGUUUGCUCCUCUUGUCUUCACACCGGGUAUGGCCAACCGGCAUCUGCAGCACGGCAAGGGAUCGCCUAAUCCCCGACAAUGCCUUUGUUUUUUGUUUACAUUCUAAUAAAUAUUAUUAAGUAUUUCAAUCCAUAUACCUGUAUAGUGGAUCACUGAAGCCAUAAGUAUUCAGUGUACUUUAAGAAAUCAAGGAUGGUUGCUAGAGGCAAGGAAAGAGAUUUUCACAUGGACGGUUGGGCCCUUAUUUUUUCCACAUCUCUCAAGUUACCGCAUUACACGUACUUUCCGUUUUACCUAUUGAACAGA
rnacentral:lncRNA from 1 species